rnacentral:rRNA from 1 species
GCUACGGGAGGCAGCAGUGAGGGAUAUUGGUCAAUGGGGGAAACCCUGAACCAGCAACGCCGCGUGAGGGAAGACGGUUUUCGGAUUGUAAACCUCUGUCCUCUGUGCAGAUAAUGACGGUAGCAGAGGAGGAAGCUCCGGCUAACUACGUGCCAGCAGCCACGGUCAUAGGUAGGGAGCAAGGGUUGUCCGGUUUUAUUGGGUUAAAAGGGUUGUUAGGCGGGCUUUUAAGUCAGCGGUAAAAAUUCGGGGCUAAACCCCGUCCGGCCGUUGAAACGGGGGGCCUUGAGUGGGCGAGAAGAAGGCGGAAGGCGUGGUGGAGCGGUGAAAUGCAUAGAUAUCACGCAGAACCCCGAUUGCGAAGGCAGCCUUCCGGCGCCCUACUGACGCUGAGGCACGAAAGUGCGGGGAUCGAACAGGAUUAGAUACCCCUGUAGUC